rnacentral:rRNA from 1 species
AUUGAACGCUAGCGGGAUGCUUUACACAUGCAAGUCGAACGGCAGCGCGAAGAAAGCUUGCUUUCUUUGGCGGCGAGUGGCGAACGGGUGAGUAAUAUAUCGGAACGUGCCCAGUAGCGGGGGAUAACUACGCGAAAGCGUGGCUAAUACCGCAUACGCCCUACGGGGGAAAGAGGGGGAUCGCAAGACCUCUCACUAUUGGAGCGGCCGAUAUCAGAUUAGCUUGUUGGUGAGGUAAAGGCUCACCAAGGCCACGAUCUGUAGCUGGUUUGAGAGGACGACCAGCCACACUGGGACUGAGACACGGCCCAGACUCCUACGGGAGGCAGCAGUGGGGAAUUUUGGACAAUGGGGGCAACCCUGAUCCAGCCAUCCCGCGUGUGCGAUGAAGGCCUUCGGGUUGUAAAGCACUUUUGGCAGGGAAGAAAAGGCGCUGGUUAAUACCUGGCGCCGCUGACGUACCUGCAGAA